rnacentral:tRNA from 1 species
GGACGCGUAGCUCAGCUGGUUAGAGCACCUCGUUUACACCGAGGGGGUCCUAGGUUCGAAUCCUUGCGCGUCCA